rnacentral:rRNA from 1 species
CAGCAGCCACGGGAAUACGUAGGGUGCGAGCGUUAAUCGGAAUUACUGGGCGUAAAGCGUGCGCAGGCGGUUUUGUAAGACAGGCGUGAAAUCCCCGGGCUCAACCUGGGAAUGGCGCUUGUGACUGCAAAGCUAGAGUGCGGCAGAGGGGGAUGGAAUUCCGCGUGUAGCAGUGAAAUGCGUAGAUAUGCGGAGGAACACCGAUGGCGAAGGCAAUCCCCUGGGCCUGCACUGACGCUCAUGCACGAAAGCGUGGGGAGCAAACAGGAUUAGAUACCCCCGUAGUCCCUGUCUCUUAUAC